CUGUGGGGGAUGUACUCAACAAAUACCCAUACUUAAGGACGCCUGCUGGAUUUUUUGACGAGGUUGAUCGAAUCCAUCCUUCAACAAGUAGCUUCUGUCAUCGCUUCAAAGAGGGCUUUGCUCGAGUUUUGCCAAAUGUGCUGAAACUUGCCGAGGGAAAAUCUCCCCUCGCAAAACAGUACACUGAUGCAAGACGGGAUGCAUUAGCUGAGGAUCUACCAGAAAUCGACUUAAGGGCCGGGCUUAUCCUCUUGCCAUCCAUCUUCAGAGAAAAGACUGAACACUACAUCACAAUGGGAGAGGGGGACCCUGCUACACCCUAUCCAACCAUACAACUGAUGGACAAUGACUGGAAAAUGGCGAUCACAGGAAGAGGGCUUAGUGUGGUGAAAGUAGAUGGAGUAGAUGUGUGCCAGUGCACAGGCCUUGAUGAAGCCUUCAUAACAGCCUUCAGUAUGUAUUUUGCUUUCAACAUUACCUACCCACUGCACCUGAAAAACACACUGACCUUCCUUCAGAGGUGCAUUGUCAGUAUUGUGGAAGAGGGAGACAAGCCCCUGCCAGUAACUGUACUCCGACUGAUUAACCUUCUGUGUUAGAUCAUGCCUCAACUGCACCAGUGCCCAAAGUGCACUCGAAGGACAUUUACUCUAGGGAAGCUGCUCCAACAUGUUGGACUUGUUCAUGCACAUGAACCAAAUUUUAGUAUCACCUGUGGGGUAGGUGAUUGCCUGUCAACUUUUUCCCGCUUCCAUUCUUUUAGAAAACAUGUGUACAGGAAGCACAGAUGCUUUGUGUUUAGGCCUUCUGAUAAUAGAAAUGAUUGUCCCAUUGAGUCCACAGUACAGCAACAUAGCUUGAACCUGGAUCAGCAAAAUUCUGAGACUGAUCCAAGUGCUUCUGAUCCCCAAACAGUUGAGCCAAAUUUAGAUAAACUAUUAGAAGAUUUCAGAGAUAAUCUGUUUGGAUUCAUUCUUAAAUGCA